rnacentral:rRNA from 1 species
AUGUGUGUGCCAAAGGAGAAAGGAUGUAUGGGGUUCCGGGAUAUUCACAGUUUUAACUUGGCUAUGUUGGCCAAGCAAUGUUGGAGGUUGAUUGAGAUUUUUGACUCACUCCGUGCAAGAGUUAUGAGAGCCAGAUAUUAUCCUAGUGGUGACAUCCUGAAUUGUGAACUAAAGAAAGGAUUGUCUUUUGUUUGGCAAAGUAUUUGGGCGGGAGUCCAAACCUUCAAGAAAGGUUGCAUCUGGAGAGUGUGGGAUGGAGCAAAGAUAAAUAGUUGGAGUGAUUGCUGGAUCCCAAAUAGUGCUUCUAGGAAAGUGCUUACUAUUCGUGGCAAACAAUUGCUUUCGAAAGUAAGUGAUCUUAUUGACCCAUCUUCGGGCGAGUGGGCCGGACGAGCAACUUAUCAGAGACACCUUUUGGCAUAUAGAUGUCGAGCGCAUACUGCAAAUCCCUCUAUGUGGCGUGGCACCUAA